CUUCGGAACUAGAGACCGGCGCACGGGUGCGUAACGCGUAUGCAAUCUACCUUUUACAGAGGGAUAGCCCAGAGAAAUUUGGAUUAAUACCUCAUAGUAUUACGACUCGGCAUCGAGAUGUAAUUAAAGUCACAACGGUAAAAGAUGAGCAUGCGUCCCAUUAGCUAGUUGGUAAGGUAACGGCUUACCAAGGCUACGAUGGGUAGGGGUCCUGAGAGGGAGAUCCCCCACACUGGUACUGAGACACGGACCAGACUCCUACGGGAGGCAGCAGUGAGGAAUAUUGGACAAUGGGCGCAAGCCUGAUCCAGCCAUGCCGCGUGCAGGAUGACGGUCCUAUGGAUUGUAAACUGCUUUUAUACGAGAAGAAACACUACUUCGUGAAGUAGCUUGACGGUAUCGUAAGAAUAAGGAUCGGCUAACUCCGUGCCAGCAGCCGCGGUAAUACGGAGGAUCCAAGCGUUAUCCGGAAUCAUUGGGUUUAAAGGGUCCGUAGGCGGUUUAGUAAGUCAGUGGUGAAAGCCCAUCGCUCAACGGUGGAACGGCCAUUGAUACUGCUAAACUUGAAUUAUUAGGAAGUAACUAGAAUAUGUAGUGUAGCGGUGAAAUGCUUAGAGAUUACAUGGAAUACCAAUUGCGAAGGCAGGUUACUACUAAUGGAUUGACGCUGAUGGACGAAAGCGUGGGUAGCGAACAGGAUUAGAUACCCUGGUAGUCCACGCCGUAAACGAUGGAUACUAGCUGUUGGAAGCAAUUUCAGUGGCUAAGCGAAAGUGAUAAGUAUCCCACCUGGGGAGUACGUUCGCAAGAAUGAAACUCAAAGGAAUUGACGGGGGCCCGCACAAGCGGUGGAGCAUGUGGUUUAAUUCGAUGAUACGCGAGGAACCUUACCAAGGCUUAAAUGUAGAUUGACCGUUUUGGA
rnacentral:rRNA from 1 species